GGAAUGUAUUACUCAGUGGUAAAGUAUUCGACUGCAGAUUGAGAGGUUUCCGCGCGGUUGGAACCCGGGUAUCUCCU